rnacentral:rRNA from 1 species
CCGUUUGUACACACCGCCCGUCACACCAUGGGAGCUGACUCAACCAGAAAACGGCCUAGUUAACCGCAAGGAGACUAUCGUUGAAGGUGGGGUUGGUGACUGGGGUG